rnacentral:rRNA from 1 species
GAUGGACCCGCGGUGCAUUAGCUAGUUGGUGAGGUAACGGCUCACCAAGGCAACGAUGCAUAGCCGACCUGAGAGGGUGAUCGGCCACACUGGGACUGAGACACGGCCCAGACUCCUACGGGAGGCAGCAGUAGGGAAUCUUCGGCAAUGGACGAAAGUCUGACCGAGCAACGCCGCGUGAGUGAAGAAGGUUUUCGGAUCGUAAAACUCUGUUGUUAGAGAAGAACAAGGAUGAGAGUAGAACGUUCAUCCCUUGACGGUAUCUAACCAGAAAGCCACGGCUAACUACGUGCCAGCAGCCGCGGUAAUACGUAGGUGGCAAGCGUUGUCCGGAUUUAUUGGGCGUAAAGCGAGCGCAGGCGGUUUCUUAAGUCUGAUGUGAAAGCCCCCGGCUCAACCGGGGAGGGUCAUUGGAAACUGGGAGACUUGAGUGCAGAAGAGGAGAGUGGAAUUCCAUGUGUGGCGGUGAAAUGCGUAGAUAUAUGGAGGAACACCAGUGGCGAAGGCGGCUCUCUGGUCUGUAACUGACGCUGAGGCUCGAAAGCGUGGGGAGCGAACAGGAUUAGAUACCCUGGUAGUCCACGCC